rnacentral:rRNA from 1 species
AACGAACGCUGGCGGCAUGCCUAACACAUGCAAGUCGAACGAGACCUUCGGGUCUAGUGGCGCACGGGUGCGUAACGCGUGGGAACCUGCCCUUAGGUUCGGAAUAACUCUCCGAAAGGGGUGCUAAUACCGGAUAAUGUCUUCGGACCAAAGAUUUAUCGCCUUUGGAUGGGCCCGCGUUGGAUUAGCUAGUUGGUAGGGUAAAAGCCUACCAAGGCGACGAUCCAUAGCUGGUCUGAGAGGAUGAUCAGCCACACUGGGACUGAGACACGGCCCAGACUCCUACGGGAGGCAGCAGUGGGGAAUAUUGGACAAUGGGCGAAAGCCUGAUCCAGCAAUGCCGCGUGAGUGAUGAAGGCCUUAGGGUUGUAAAGCCCUUUUACCCGGGAUGAUAAUGACAGUACCGGGAGAAUAAGCUCCGGCUAACUCCGUG